CCUACGGGUGGCAGCAGUGAGGAAUAUUGGUCAAUGGGCGCGAGCCUGAACCAGCCAAGUCGCGUGAGGGAUGAAGGUUCUAUGGAUCGUAAACCUCUUUUAUAAGGGAAUAAAGUGUUGGACGUGUCCGAUUUUGUAUGUACCUUAUGAAUAAGGAUCGGCUAACUCCGUGCCAGCAGCCGCGGUAAUACGGAGGAUCCGAGCGUUAUCCGGAUUUAUUGGGUUUAAAGGGUGCGUAGGCGGCCUUUUAAGUCAGCGGGGAAAGUUUGGGGCUCAACCAUCGAAUUGACGUUGAAACUGGGGGGCUUGAGUAUGUGUGAGGCAGGCGGAAUGCGUGGUGUAGCGGUGAAAUGCUUAGAUAUCACGCAGAACCCCGAUUGCGAAGGCAGCCUGCCAGGCCAUGACUGACGCUGAUGCACGAAAGCGUGGGGAUCAAACAGGAUUAGAUACCCGGGUAGUC
rnacentral:rRNA from 1 species